UGGCAGCAAAGUUGAUAUCAAACCACAACUCCUCCUCCUCUAGACAUCACACCUGUAGAGCUAAUAUCAUCAACGGCUUUCACAUAUCUGGUGUUUUUUGGUCUUUGCAUUUUGAGCACUGAGGAGAAUGAUCAGUCCACGCUUUAUAUGUGCAUGUUCUGUUCUCAUCACAGUGGUGGGGGCUGUGGAACUCAAUCAGGACAUCAGUGUGUCUGCUGCUGUGGGGAAAGCGGUCUCAAUUCCCUGCAAUUAUGGAACUGGGUGUGAAGACUAUAUCCACUGGUACCAGAAAAAGGAAGGAGAGAGCUUUAAGAGAAUAUUGUAUGUAGAUAUAAGCUCUGGCGCCAAAACAAAUGAUCCUGGUUAUGAAGCGUUCCAAACAGUGAAAAAUGGAAACAAAUUCACUCUAAAGAUCCCACAGCUGAAGUCCUCUCAUGCUGCAGUGUACUACUGUGCAUGCUGGGAUGAUUCCUCCCACAGUCAGAAUUACUGCUAGCAGCCUGCACAAAAACUAGUAGCAGGAUGGC